UGGCGGACGGGUGAGUAACGCGUGGGUAACCUGCCUCAUACAGGGGGAUAACAGUUAGAAAUGACUGCUAAUACCGCAUAAGACCACAGGAUUGCAUGAUCCGGUGGUAAAAACUCCGGUGGUAUGAGAUGGACCCGCGUCUGAUUAGCUAGUUGGUAAGGUAACGGCUUACCAAGGCGACGAUCAGUAGCCGACCUGAGAGGGUGACCGGCCACAUUGGGACUGAGACACGGCCCAAACUCCUACGGGAGGCAGCAUG
rnacentral:rRNA from 1 species